ACUCAAGACAGGAUUCCAUUUAACGGAUGGCUAGCGUAAGCUAAGGGAAAGUGCCACAGAAAAGAACCGCUCUUUUUAGAGUAAGGGUGAAAAGGUGGGGUAAGAGCCCACCGCACUCCAAGUAAUUGGGGCUGGCUUAGGUAAACCCAAUCCGUAGCAAGAAGUGCAUGGUAGAGUCUUGAAUGUGGCACUUCGCAAGAGGUGGGUUGUAAAACCCAUCCACAGAUAAAUAACCACCCACG
rnacentral:misc_RNA from 1 species